AGCGAACGCUGGCGGCAGGCCUAAAACAUGCAAGUCGAACGCCUGUAGCAAUACAGGAGUGGCAGACGGGUGAGUAGCACGUGGGAACGUACCCUUUGGUUCGGAACAACACAGGGAAACUUGUGCUAAUACCGGAUAAGCCCUUACGGGGAAAGAUUUAUCGCCAGAGGAUCGGCCCGCGUCUGAUUAGCUUGUUGGUGAGGUAACGGCUCACCAAGGCUACGAUCAGUAGCUGGCUGAGAGGAUGAUCAGCCACACUGGGACUGAGACACGGCCCAGACUCCUACGGGAGGCAGCAGUUAGGAAUCUUGGACAAUGGGCGCAAGCCUGAUCCAGCCAUGCCGCGUGAGUGAUGAAGGCCUUAGGGUUGUAAAGCUCUUUCAGCGGGGAAGAUAAUGACGGUACCCCGCAGAAGAAGCCCCCGGCUAACUUCGUGCCAG
rnacentral:rRNA from 1 species